rnacentral:rRNA from 1 species
GACGAACGCUGGCGGCGUGCCUAAUACAUGCAAGUCGAGCGGACCAAAGGGAGCUUGCUCCUGGAGGUUAGCGGCGAACGGGUGAGUAACACGUGGGCAACCUGCCUGUAAGACUGGGAUAACAUCGAGAAAUCGGUGCUAAUACCGGAUAAUAAAAAGAACUGCAUGGUUCUUUUUGAAAGAUGGUUUCGGCUAUCACUUACAGAUGGGCCCGCGGCGCAUUAGCUAGUUGGUGAGGUAACGGCUCACCAAGGCGACGAUGCGUAGCCGACCUGAGAGGGUGAUCGGCCACACUGGGACUGAGACACGGCCCAGACUCCUACGGGAGGCAGCAGUAGGGAAUCUUCCGCAAUGGACGAAAGUCUGACGGAGCAACGCCGCGUGAGUGAUGAAGGUUUUCGGAUCGUAAAACUCUGUUGUUAGGGAAGAACAAGUGCCGUUCGAAAGGGCGGCACCUUGACGGUACCUAACGAGAAAGCCACGGCUAACUACGUGCCAGCAGCCGCGGU